CCUAGGGGUGGCAGCAGUGGGGAAUAUUGGACAAUGGGCGAAAGCCUGAUCCAGCCAUGCCGCGUGUGUGAAGAAGGCCUUCGGGUUGUAAAGCACUUUCAGUGGGGAAGAAAGCCUUGGGGCUAAUACCCUCGAGGAAGGACAUCACCCACAGAAGAAGCACCGGCUAACUCCGUGCCAGCAGCCGCGGUAAUACGGAGGGUGCGAGCGUUAAUCGGAAUUACUGGGCGUAAAGCGCGCGUAGGCGGUCUGAUAAGUCGGUUGUGAAAGCCCCGGGCUCAACCUGGGAACGGCAUCCGGAACUGUCAGGCUAGAGUGCAGGAGAGGAAGGUAGAAUUCCCGGUGUAGCGGUGAAAUGCGUAGAGAUCGGGAGGAAGACCAGUGGCGAAGGCGGCCUUCUGGACUGACACUGACGCUGAGGUGCGAAAGCGUGGGUAGCAAACAGGAUUAGAUACCCGAGUAGUC
rnacentral:rRNA from 1 species